CGCCUUCUGCCAAGACCCCUUAUUUUUCAAUAAAAAAAUUCAAAAGGAUAAGGUAGGGUGGGGUGAUAAGGAGGACCAUCUCUUCCUUCGAUUUUCUCUCGUCCGUGGUUUGGUUGCGAGUUGAAGCUUCCCUCGACACCUUUCACCACCAUCUCUUCAGCUCACAAAUUCUAUGUCUACGGUUAAGAGAUACAAAAAUCAACAACAAUAGCAGCAACAACCUCAACUCUCUCACUCUCUCACUCUCAUAUGGCACAAUUCUUUCGAGAGUUGUGGAGGCACCAUUAACGAACCUCUGAAAUCCCCAUAAAUAAAAUAACUAAGCUUCCGAUUCGGACCGAUUGUGAUACAACAGAAAACCAAGAUGAUUUAAUUUGAAAGCAAGCAAUCACAACGCUCAUAAAUUUGGGUGUUUAGUACAUUUCAAUGGCGACUACUCGGCUAGCAGUGGGAAAAAGCUUUUUAGAUGAUUCUGCAGCCUGGUCAGUCAAGCAGGCAAGGAGAGUGUUGGAGUUCUGGUGCUGCAUUGACUUUGUAGUUCUUAUGUUAGUUGAGCUUAUUUUUGCUCGAUUUUUGUUUUGUAGGACUAUUUUUUGGUUUGGUUUUGUUGGUCGAUGUGGUAAAUCCCUCUCCACAUGUGUACAUACAUUUGAGUAGCAUAUGUAUUUUUAUAGUGCUUACUAGUAAAGUUUUUUUGAUAAUGAGCUCUACUUUGUAACAUUUGAAGUUGUGGCCUAUAGUAUUUUGGAUAAUGUAUAUGCUGAAGUAUAUAUAUGAAUGGAGUUGAUUCUAUUA